AAUUCUCUUUCUUCUCCGCCUUGCCAAAGGAAACUCUAACGGCUACCGUUUUUGCGUUCUCUGGUGAAACGCCUUUUCCCACGACAAUGAAUCAUCAACCUUGCUUCAUUAUUUUCUUCAUUAAUUUCCCAAUACCAAACAAAUGUUCUCUUCACCUUCCCCGAGCUUCCCACUAUAAAAUCAACUCUGCAUAUAAGAAAAAGCAUAAGAUAUCGCAUCCAUGAUUUUCACCGAUGUUGCUACGGGUUGGGAGAGACCCUAAUUAUCUUCAAGCUCAUACAUUUUUUGGAAGUUUAACUGCAACACGCAAUGGGAAGUCUCUGAUUGGUGUAGAGACGGUGCUCAUCUACAAACAUGUGGGAUUCUAUUUACUAUUCAUAUAUUCUCUCUUUUCAAGAAUCAGAACCCCAUACUAAUUGCAUUAACACAUGGCUCAUCGCCUGAUUGUGUUGUUUAGAAGCCACAUAUGAAAAUCUGUAUCAGGCUUCCUCUACCAAAGUGAUUGUUAGUGAGAAAUUCAAAGUUUUAUGUGGGAUCAUAUUAUUUCAUCUGUUAACAUCAAAACCAAUAAAUCUAAGCAAUGAAAAACGAUGCGCAUUUGUGUACUCCCGUUUUCUUAUAUCUACUUAUCAGCACCAGUAUGGUGUAUAUAUAUGUAAGAUCUUAAACUUCCUCUUGAGAUUGUGAAUGGAACUAUUAAUGGCAAACCAACUCCAGAGAUACGAAGAUGGACCAGGAGAGGAAGAAACUGCAUAAGGUAACUUGAGGAACACUGUUUUUUUUUCUCUUUAAUAUUUUGGAAAGAAAAAAACAAUUUAACAUGUUUCCAUGCGUUACACAUCAAAGAGAAAAGAGUUCCAAGUUUCUGGCUGAUGACCUUGAACAACAAUGAUAUCACUUCCGAGGAGGUAAACUAUAUGCAGUUUUGGUAUCCAUUUUGUCUGCAACUCCAAUCAUAACCAUGGAACAUAGCUCUAGCUUCAUGUCUUUGAUGUCAGGACACAGAGUGUCGAUCAUGUUUCAUAUGAGACAUAUCUUUCGACAAUGAUUUUUUUUAAAUCUUCCUACAUAACCUUCUUUUUUCGUUGUAGGAAAUCAAAAACUGGAUUCAGGGUAAAAAAAUAAAAAUAAAGUCUUCGAAAACUGGAAGAGAUAACAAACCAGAUUAAGCUGUAAAGGUACAUAUGUUAUUACUAUAUUUAACUUGAAUAGUUUCUCACAUGAGAAUCUUCAUGUUCGUCUUUAUUUCAAGAACUCGGAUGUUUUGCAUUACUUAGUCACUGAGAAACUCAUUUGUUCAACGGUUAAAUCUUUUUCUCUUAGUCUAUGCUCAAGUUUUCACAUGUUCAAACCUGAUUCUUAAUCUUGAUUUGAUUUAUUUCCGAGUUUGACUGAAUAGUUCAUAAUCUUGGUUUCAUUCCACGGAUUCAGAUCUUAUGUAGUUUUAAAUCUGACAGUCUCCUUGCUCUUACAGCUGUACUUACAGCUGAGUUCCUUCAUGCGAACCCUCAACCACUCCUCUACAAAUGGCUGCCUCCGAUGGAAUUUCCGCUGAACUUUUUGCACAGCACACAACCUUUGACAAUCUCGGCCUUGGUCGGGCCUCUCAGUUUUGUCGUUAUGUAUGUAUCACUAUGGGACGCCUCUUUCGCAACUUUUAGGACGUCUAUUUGAACCUAAUGAUCAACCUGGAUGGAUGUGAUCUAGAAAAAACUUCAUAUUCAUAUCAGGAUGAAAGUAACAACAGAGCUCCAAAAGUGGUAAGCCAAAGUGAGCAACCAUCUGUUUCUACAAGCGAUCCGGUAGAUGGGGCCACAAAAGUGACGACCGUGGAUCAACCAACACCACCCAGCUUUGGAGGAGAAGAGAAGAGUUACAAACGCUACCGUGAAUGAAAAUUGGAAGUGUAGUAAGCUUUAGUUCCCACUAAGAUUUAUCUUCGUGCAUUACAAACUGUACACUAAUUAACUAUUUCCAUUUUAUUUUUAAUUUCCAUGUUUGGCUUUUUGUUUAUAAACUUGCUGCAACCAAGCUCCAACUUGAUAGCAAUUUUAUCUUAUUUUUUAAUAAAGUACCUUGGACGGCUGUUUACACAUUAGAAAAUAAUCAACUGGUAUAAUUCAAGCAUGAAUACAUUCAGGUUGUACGUCAUUGAACACACUUCGACUUCAUACUACACGGAAAUCCAAAAUCUUAUAAGCAUUUCCGCACUCCGCGCUUGUGCGGAGGAGAGCCCCCUAGUAAUACUAAAAGUUGCUGAACAUUAAGUUGUAUCCGGUGGUUUAGAAGAAUAUGAACUUCACAAGUAAAAAUAUCAUAUUAAAUACAGUACAUAACUGUACAUGAACAUUCACUUUAGAAGAAAAAUAAAAUGUGACAUUUAUUGAUUUCAAAACUGCAUUUUCUCAUAUAUAUAAAUAUGUUAUAGUAUUCUUGCAGCCAGAAUUAUAAUAUUAUUAAAAUAAAAAUAAUAUUCUUUGUUAAAAUAUAUCCUCUUCGUAAAUAAGUGUAUGCUCUUUAUUCACCAAAAGAUAAACAUUUAAAAAGAAAAGGAUACACUAUUAUAAACGAUUACAAAUAAUAAUUCAUUGCAAACCAAUAUUAUAACAAAAACACACACAAAAUGCAAUUUAAUUUACCACCUGCUACAUAUUUUAUAACUAAUCGAAAAUAGUGAAUAAAAGUUAGUAUUCAGUGUGGCUUUUUUUUGUUUCCAUUAUAGUUAGUUAGUGCUACAUUAUAUAUAAAUACACACUUAAAUCAAACAUUAUUUACAUGAAACUGGCUAUAUGCUCCAAAUCAAAUUUCUUUUUGAAUCCGCUUCUCCAUGACAUAAAAGAUGAGCGGGUUUAAACACCAACUUCGGUGUAUUCAUAAAAUGUAGACAUAUUAUAAGAUCAAAAGCUAAGUUGUGCAUAUACCAAAUUUUUAAGAAAUAUUCCAAAUUUAUAGAAAGCAAAAAGUAGGAAAAAAAACUACUAAAGGUACUAUUAAACAUUAAAAUUAAAUUAAAUACAAAGUAAAAAUAUGCACAUAUUAAUAAUAAUUAUAAAUAAAUUUAACCUAUACUAAAAGGUGAAUAUGAAGUGUUUCUAACAUGUCCACGUAGGCUAAUAUAUUUGAUCAAUCAAGACAUUCCAAUAAUACACGCUGGCAAAAGACACGAAGCUCUUGCUUUCGUAUGGGCUCUGCUGUGUUUCGAUAGCUUCGUCGGUUAGUAUUGGGCUUUGCUACCCAAUUCAAUUAAAAAAAAAUUCAACCCAAGACAGAUAACACGAGGCUCUACGCUUCUCACUCUUCGUCUUCACCGUUUCUUCACCAUCGUUUCAGUUCUCUCGAUCCAGAACUCCACAAUCAAUUUGAUUGAGUUCAUGUUGUGAUCGUUUUAGUAAGUCAGAAAUCGAACAUGAGAGUGAGAUUCUUCUCGAUAAUUUUGAAUCUCAUAUUCUUAUAUCACUGAUUUACUCUGAUUCUGAUUGAGAUCUGCUGCUGUAGAUCACUAUUCUGUGGUGUCAAUUUUUGAAUUGUAGAUCUCAAAUUAUUGGAUUGCUGAUUUGCUCUUAUUUGAUUGGAUUAUAUUCAUCGUGUACCUUCACGUCUGUUCCCAUCUUGGGUAUGUUCCAAGGCAAGAGAUAACAGAUAUCCAAAAUCAUCGGGUGGUUUCAUCUGAGGAGCUCAGUGUGAGAAACUCAUCGCAGUGCCAGUAACAUUUAACAUCGCGUGCUUUGGCUACUAAAACUUAGCGAGGCGUUCGUUCGUUUAUGCGAUUAAUCAGCUUGGUAGAUGUGAACCUAUCUGAUGAAUCUAGAGAUAGCGAUGGAAAAAAGAAAUAAAAAUCAAAGAUUGUUGGUCAUGGGAUGGAUAUGUUCCCAUAUGUGUCUAUGUUCCGAUAUGUGUCUUAGGACGAAAGAUGGAUCGAUAUUCCAUAGGAGAUGCUGGAUAACUGGUCUCAGAAGAUAUUCAGUCAUAACGGUCCCUGGAUCGCUUCUUUGUGUUUCAUGGUGAGCAGAUUCCAAAUCUUCCAUGCGUGUAUCUAAGGGUGGAGGAGAUAUGAGAGUGUAAUUAUGGACCAAGGGAUGACUAGGCUUUUGCUGUCUUAUCUUAAUUCCAUCUCAAAGGAGGACCCAGUAGCAUGAAACAGUAGUAGAAUAAGUUGAUCAGUCAUUUCAAGGAGCGCUAAAGGUUGGACGUAUAAAUUGCAAAACAAAAUCUUCUCUUUGCAAACAACUUGGCAUAGCUGUGUUUCUCCAGUCCCUCACUUCGCUCAGGUGUUUUCUCCUAACGUCACCGGUGUCAUCAGGUUCUGUGUUGUUUAACUGGCUGUUAACUAAGGCAACUUGCCAUGUUUGUGGUCUCGACAAGGAGCUGACAAAACUCAGCAAGAAAGAUGCAGCCACUCUGGUUCUUGUGGAGUGGCGAUGCAGGAUAGGAGCUACCAAGCUGCCUUGAAGUACUAGGUGGGAAGUAACACAUUUUUCAUUGGAGAUAUCUUCUGGCACUGAGGUAGAGAGUAGCAGAAGCAGCCAAGCUCCACUCGUGGAUGCUCAACCUGGACAAGCAACAGUAUCUGCCAGUUACAUGGUUGAUGCGGCGAAGAGAGCAAUGGGUGUUGAUGAAGCCAAGCUGCCCGGUUUUGAAGAGGACAAAGGAAUAGCCGCAAACGCCCAUUUGAAAUAACUAUUUUCUUAUGUUUUUCUUGCUUUGAUCUUUGGUUGUGUCUUGAAUUAUCUGCUAACUAUCUCCCAACAGGAGAAGAGUUGCUUGGAUUUUAAAUAAAGGGAACAUUGACGGGUC